rnacentral:rRNA from 1 species
AUGCUUUCCCACUUAGUGAUGACUUGGGGACCUUAGCUGUAGGUUAGGGCUGUUUCCCUUUUGACGACGGACCUUAGCACCCGCCGUCUGUCUGCCGGAUAAGACUCGAUGGUAUAAAUAAGAGAUCCUGCGGCGAAGAUGUAACGGGGGCUAAAGUGAUGCACGAAGCUUAGGGUUCAGUACUUGUACUGAGCGGUAGCGGAGCGUUCCGUAAGCUUCGGUGCAUCACUUUGGCCCCGGCGAUCUAGGCAUGGCCAGGUUGAAGGUGCGGUAACACGCACUGGAGGACCGAACCGGUGAAUGUUGAAAAAUUCUCGGAUGAGCUGUGUUUAGGGGUGAAAGGCCAAUCAAGCCGGGAAAUAGCUGGUUCUCCGCGAAAACUAUUGAGGUAGUGCCUCGGAUGUUUUCCUGUGGGGGUAGAGUCACUGGGAUGGAUGCGGGGGUCGCGGAGAUCUACCAAGCUCUAACCAAACUCCGAAUACCACAGAGUAUAGUCCCGGGAGACAGACGGCGGGUGCUAAGGUCCGUCGUCAAAAGGGGAAACAGCCCUAACCUACAGCUAAAGGUCCCCAAGUCACGUCUAAGUGGGAAAGCAUGUGGGACUUCCAAAACAACCAGGAGGUUGGCUUAGAAGCAGCCAUCCUUUAAAGAAAGCGUAACAGCUCACUGGUCUAAAUAAGGGUUUCUGCGCCGAAGAUGUAACGGGGCUCAAGCCACGAGCCGAAGCUUAGGGUGUGAUCCGCAAGGGUCACGCGGUAGCGGAGCGUUCUGUAAGCCUGCGAAGGGCGACCCGUGAGGGCGCCUGGAGGUAUCAGAAGUGCGAAUGCUGGCAUGAGUAACGACAAACACUGUGAAAGACAGUGUCGCCGAAAGUCCAAGGGUUCCUGCGUAAAGUUAAUCUUCGCAGGGUUAGCCGACCCCUAAGGCGAGGCCGAAAGGCGUAGUCGAUGGGAAUGCAGUGAAUAUUCUGCAGCCAGUGGAUGGUGACGAAUCCAGUAUGUUGUCCGACCUUAAUGGAUUGGUCGGGCCUCGAAUGGGUUCCAGGAAAUAGCCUCCACAUCAGAUCGUACCCGAAACCGACACAGGUGGACUGGUAGAGUAUACCAAGGCGCUUGAGAGAACUAUGUUGAAGGAACUCGGCAAUUUACCUCCGUAACUUCGGGAUAAGGAGGCCCAUUGCAUGCGCAAGCAUGCAGUGGGGGCACAGACCAGGGGGUGGCAACUGUUUAACAAAAACACAGGGCUCUGCGAAAUCGCAAGAUGACGUAUAGGGUCUGACGCCUGCCCGGUGCCGGAAGGUUAAGAGGAGAGGUGCAAGCCUUGAAUCGAAGCCCCGGUAAACGGCGGCCGUAACUAUAACGGUCCUAAGGUAGCGAAUUCCUUGUCGGGUAAGUUCCGACCUGCACGAAUGGCGUAAUGACUUCCCCGCUGUCUCCAACAUAGACUCAGUGAAAUUGAAUUCCCCGUGAAGAUGCGGGGUUC